AUUGAACGCUGGCGGCAUGCCUUACACAUGCAAGUCGAACGGCAGCACGGGAGCAAUCCUGGUGGCGAGUGGCGAACGGGUGAGUAAUAUAUCGGAACGUGCCCAGUCGUGGGGAUAACGUAGCGAAAGCUACGCUAAUACCGCAUACGAUCUAUGGAUGAAAGCGGGGAUCGCAAGACCUCGCGCGAUUGGAGCGGCCGAUAUCAGAUUAGGUAGUUGGUGAGGUAAAGGCUCACCAAGCCGACGAUCUGUAGCUGGUCUGAGAGGACGACCAGCCACACUGGGACUGAGACACGGUCCAGACUCCUACGGGAGGCAGCAGUGGGGAAUAUUGGACAAUGGGCGCAAGCCUGAUCCAGCCAUGCCGCGUGUGUGAAGAAGGCCUUCGGGUUGUAAACUGCUUUGUACGGAACGAAACGGUGAGCUCUAAUACAGUUUGCUAAUGACGGUACCGUAAGAAUAAGCACCGGCUAACUACGUG
rnacentral:rRNA from 1 species